CUUGUACACACCGCCCGUCACACCAUGGGAGUGGGUUUCACCAGAAGUAGUUGGCCUAACCGCAAGGAGGGCGACUACCACGGUGAGAUUCAUGACCGGGGUG
rnacentral:rRNA from 1 species